ACUCGAGGGACAUUGUUCCAGCUAAUGAUUAAGAACUCUCCAGACAAUAGGGGCUUCUUAGACAAUGGGUGAAUUUCCAGGAUGUCCGGCCCCCUUCCGAGAAGGAGGGAGAUAACAAAAUGUAAAAAAGGUGUCUGUCAAAGACCAAUCAGGCAGCUGGGGACAAGUUCCCUCUCUGGUCCGAGCCUAAGCCGGGACCAAUCAGCAGGAGAACACAACCAAAUCUAUAAUUUACAUACGGGGAAGUGGGAACCUAUAAAACUGACAUAUUCGCGCCCAAAAGGGUUCCUUCUUCGACCUCCUGCGUGAGGACCAAGGAACCCCGGUGCACCGGCCUUCAAUAAACCUCUUGCGUUUUGCAUCGA